UUAAACAAAAUAUAAAAAGACCCCAUGAUCCCUUUGAAUUUUAAAAUGAUACUUGUGUCCUUAUGAAAAGUCUAUAAUAGAUUAGCCAUCGGAAUCUCGGCCGAGCCGCUUCCGACGACGACUACCUCAAUUGUAACGGCCAGUGACUUCUCCAAAGGAAACUUUCAAGAAAGCUCCGCGUUUGGAAACUUUUUCUCCGAAAUUUUCCAUCUUUUUGCAAGUACUCCCUCAGGCUCAAGAGCAAUGAACUGGGUUCAACAUAUUCUGGUGAUCGUGUUGAUGUGGUUCGUUUUCUACAAUGGAUCGCGAUACGUCACUGACUUUUGCAAGAGGCAUCUUGGGUGAAUCCCAGAUAUGAAAUGUAGCAGUAAUGUGAAUGAUCGCAAGGGAAAUGGCAAUGUGGAAUAUGUGAAUGAUAUAGUGGCAUGUCUCCCUUGAUAUAAUAUGACUUUAUUCUGUACCAUCCUUGUAAUGAUUAUGAACCAUGGUCUUAAAUUUGGCAAGGAUUCAAGAAUAUUGUAUUCUUUCUUGUAGUGAUUGUGAAACUUGUCCGACCUAUUGCAAUUAAUGGAAUUUUGCAUUUCAUGUA